CUCGUCUUCCCUGGGUUAGCCGGUCCCUAAGUCGAGGCCUAAGGGCGUAGACGAUGGGAAACAGGUAAAUAUUCCUGUGCCACCUAAAACUAUAGCGAUUGGACUGACGGAGUAAGUUAAGCACGCGAGCUGUUGGAUUAGCUCGUUGGGCGUCGAGGUUGUAUGAUAGGCAAAUCCGUCAUACAUAAGACCGUGGGCGCUGACGAAGGGGAGUCUUAGGACGAACCGAUGGUGUAGCGCGAUGCUUCCUGGAAAGAAGUUCUAGCUGUUGAUGGUGACCGUACCAAAUCCGACACAGGUGGGUGAGAAGAGAAUCCUAAGGCGCGCGAGAUAACUCUCGUUAAGGAAYUCGGCAAAUUGUCCCCGUAACUUCGGGAGAAGGGGAGCUUUUUGUUGUGAUUAUUUUUACAAUAUGAGCGACAGAAAGUCGCAGAGAAUCAAUUCAAGCGACUGUUUAACAAAAACAUAGCACUAUGCAAAGUCGCAAAGACGAAGUAUAUAGUGUGAUGCCUGCCCAAUGCUCCAAGGUUAAAGUGAGAGGUCAACCUUUUUUGGUGAAGCUUCGAGCCCAAGCCCGGGUAAAUGGCGGCUGUAACUCUAACGGUCCUAAGGUAGCGAAAUUCCUUGUCGGGUAAGUUCCGACCUGCACGAAUGGUGUAACGACUUGAAUACUGUCUCAACGAGAGACUCGGUGAAAUUGAAGUAGCCGUGAAGAUGCGGUUUUCCCACGACAGGACGAAUAGACCCCGUGAACCUUUACUGUAGCUUGAUAUUGAAUUGCGAAUAUGUAUGUGUAGCAUAGCUGGGAGACUAUGAAACGCGCUCGUUAGGGUGCGUUGAGUCAUUAGUGAAAUACCAGUCUUAUAUAUUUGUAAUUCUAACAAUACUCCAUGAAUCUGGAGGUUGGACAUUGUCAGGUGGGCAGUUUUACUGGGGCGGUAUCCUCCCAAAAAGUAACGGAGGAGUUCAAAGCUUACUUCAUCACGAAAAGGCAACCGUGAGUUGAGUGUAAAGGCAAAAAGUAGGUUAACUGCGAGACCCGCAAGUCGAGCAGAUACGAAAGUAGGACUUAGUGAUCCGGCGGUAUAGAAUGGAAUUGCCGUCGCUUAACGGAUAAAAGGUACUCCGGGGAUAACAGGCUUAUCGCUACCAAGAGUUCAUAUCGACGUAGCGGUUUGGCACCUCGAUGUCGACUCAUCGCAUCCUGGGGCUGGAGAAGGUCCCAAGGGUCUGGCUGUUCGCCAGUUAAAGCGGUACGUGCGUUGGGUUCAGAACGUCGUGAGACAGUUCGGUCCCUAUCCGUCGUGGGCGUAGGAUAUUUGCGGGAAGCUGCUCCUAGUACGAGAGGACCGGAGUGGACGAACCAAUGGUGAAUCGGUUGUCCUGCCAAGGGCACGGCCGGGUAGCUACGUUCGGAAGGGAUAAGCGUUGAAAGCAUCUAAACGCCAAGCCCCUCCCAAGAUAAGAUAUCCCC
rnacentral:rRNA from 1 species